ACUGGUACUGGUCUGCCCGUACUUAGACCUAUUUCUUAGGGCUCGAGUGUAGUCUCCGCUAUUAAAUCUUCAUCCACAUCGAUUAAAAAUGGUUUUAUCUAAAUUCUCCACUCAUCUAACCUUUUAUUUUAUUAUUUAGAGAGGCAUUUUAAGGAGAAUGGGGUAUUUAGAAAUAGCGCCUGGAUGCAAAAUAUCAUGUCCUUAACGCCCCGUGUUAUUAGUAUGGAUCAACGUCUUCAAGGCCUCAUGGAUGAUGUGACCUCAUCCAUGGGACCUUGAAGACCGAGGAUGAUGGGAUUUGUCUGCUUUUAUGAUGGCUUUUAUUUUCACUUCGAUGAACAUUAACUAAAAAAACUUCUUGAUCUCACUUUGAAAGAUGAUUAUAAGAUAAAAAAGUAACAAAUGCCAAAUUACGUGCUGACACUCGUGCUGACUUUUUGAUUUCUUUACAAAUCAGCACAUCAAAAUAAACAUGUAAAAUAUUAUCAGUAGUAUUUUUUACAAUUUAAUUGGUGAAGUGUUAGGUCUAAUUGUAUCAAAGAUUUAUGGAGUAAUAUUGCAACGUUUGAUAUUUUUAUUAUUGUUUUGAAUUGGGCCUUGGACCAUAGACACUUCACCAAUAAACUGUCUAAAAUAUGGAAGGACACCAACUAGAUUCUGAAUCAGACAUCAGAAGUAAAUUGAAAAAGAAACACAUUAGAAAAAGGACCUGUAACAGAGUACUGACCGAUGCUAUUACCAAUGAACUGAAACGACUUUCUGAUCUAAACGAUUGUAGUGCGUCCACGCAAUAUAAAAACGAAAAGUAUUCCUCCAAACAAAUUAAAGAUGUUUGUUUGAAUAACUUCAAAGACUGCUUGAAGGUGCAUCGGAAUGUUAUACCUCGUAAAAUUAUUGUGUACGUCCCAAAAGCAAAAAACGAAGUGACUGAUGAAUAUUUGUGUAAUAUGUUCACGAAUGAAAAAAAUGAAAUAUUCCAUGUAGAUUCUUCUUGUGUGGAAAAAGAUAAUAAAAGAGCACUAAUGCUACAACAAUACAGAGGCCUACGAGAGAACACAAUGAGUAGAGACGAUCAGUGGUGUAGCUGCACUGGAAUUGAUAUAACAAGAUUAUUCAUAUUUGCAAAGCUAAUGUAUGAAACGUCGCAACAAUUGGGAAGGCUAACAGCAAAGGCUGAAGAUAAGAACACACAACAAUGUAACAUCUUUACGAUAUCGGUCGAACUGGCAAAUCUGAGACAACUUUUAAAUCCUAUGCCAGGGUAUGACGGAGUUAUUAAACUAGACCAAAGUUAUCCUAGGCACGAAGAUGAUAAUGAAUAUUGCUAUAAGCCAUUCCCCAAAUUCAACACCCAAGAAAAAUCAAUAAGAUUUAAGAUAUCCAUCGAAAAACAUUGCAUUAGAUUCAAUAUAGCCACAUGCAAAUUAAACAUAUUUUCCAGAGACUUCCUUCAAGCUUUAGAAACUUUCUUUUCUGUUUCUAAAUCCGCCACGAGCUACGAUACUAACUGUAACGUUCCGUCACUUUCCAUGCGAAAUUGGCAUUUUCAUAACAUCAUACAAGGAUAUUUACUAGGCAUUUUAUUGAGAAACAUUAACGUGAACACGUUGAACAUGAUGAGGAAGCUAUAUUUCGUUAUAAUUACAUGCUCCGCUUCAAACCUCAUGAUAGAAAUUACCGUUAAACUAAAAAGUGGCAUAUUCAUGGUAUACGAUAACCGUUUUUAUCAAGAAGUUAUUAAUUGGAAUAAAUCUCAUCAGUUGUUCAUCAACAAAUCGGUUUCAAUGGCUACAUUAGAAAAUGCGAUACAAAAACGGUACUUACAUAUGCAUAACAAAGGGAGGCAGUUGAAUUUAGUGACCUACACAAAAACACAGCGACAGAGCAACCCUAACAUUUGUAGAGCCAAUGACUACAUUAUAAAGUCUGAUAUUGACGAAAAUAGUUCCGUGGACAAUUACUACUCGGACUCGGAGUCACUCCACGCCAAAACGUCAGAAAUGAGCGCGAUUAUACUGCCUCAGAAAAAUGGCGCAACGCUCAUACUAAAGCCAGACGAGAAAGCAGGCGAUAACAAUGUAUCAACGCAAUCGCGCAAAAAGGACUCUAUUAUCAACAACAUUUUUCUUGAUAACAAUAACAUUUACAACGCAAACUUCCUACACAGUAAGCAAUGGUUAGCCAAAGUAUUUUCUAAUAACACUACCAAAGAAAACGACAAACCAAGAAAUAUUGCGGAUAUAUUGAAAUUCAACGCGCUAAAAGAAACUAUUUUUGAUAGAGUAUCAAUACAAAGACAUCUCGAAUCUGUAACGGACUUGUAUUGGAAACAAGUGACAUCGCAAUCGUUUUACAUGGUGUUCUUAAAAUCUCUUGGUCAAUCAAUUGCUAACAUAUUCUUUAGUGCUGUAAUAUAAAAAAUAAAAUACAUAAAGUAUAA